GACGAACGCUGGCGGCGUGCUUAACACAUGCAAGUCGAACGAAGUGGCGAACGGGUGAGUAACGCGUAAUCAACCUGCCCUUCAGAGGGGGACAACAGUUGGAAACGACUGCUAAUAACGCAUACUGAAGGAGGGGAUUGCGUCUGAUUAGCUAGUUGGAGGGGGAACGGCCAACCAAGGAGUGGAUAAGUAGCCGGUCUGAGAGGAGGAACGGCCACAUUGGGACUGAGACACGGCCCAGACUCGUACGGGAGGCAGCAGUGGGGAAUCUUCCGCAAUGGACGAAAGUCUGACGGAGCAACGCCGCGUGAGUGAAGAAGGUUUUCGGAUCGUAAAACUCUGUUGUUAGAGAAGCGGUAUCUAACCAGAAAGCCACGGCUAACUACGUGCCAGCAGCCGCGGUAAUUC
rnacentral:rRNA from 1 species